CCUACGGGUGGCAGCAGUGGGGGAUAUUGCACAAUGGGGGAAACCCUGAUGCAGCGACGCCGCGUGUGGGAAGACGGUCCUCUGGAUUGUAAACCACUGUCCCCAGGGACGAAGAUGACGGUACCUGGGGAGGACGCUCCGGCUAACUACGUGCCAGCAGCCGCGGUAAUACGUAGGGAGCGAGCGUUGUCCGGAAUUACUGGGUGUAAGGGGAGCGUAGGCGGGACUGCAAGUUGGGUGUCAAAUCUACCGGCUCAACCGGUAGCCGCACUCAAAACUGCAGUUCUUGAGUGAAGUAGAGGCAGGCGGAAUUCCUAGUGUAGCGGUGAAAUGCGUAGAUAUUAGGAGGAACACCAGUGGCGAAGGCGGCCUGCUGGGCUUUGACUGACGCUGAGGCUCGAAAGUGUGGGGAGCAAACAGGAUUAGAUACCCGGGUAGUC
rnacentral:rRNA from 1 species